CAUAGUUGCAGCUUUUUUAUUAAAUUUUCAUUUUUGUUAUGUACCUUAUGUUUGUAAUAGCAGUAAUGCUAUGAAGUUUAUGAAGAACUCAUCCACUGAAUUAUUUGCAACUUAUAUGUGAAUUUCUAUUUCAAUUUUCUGUUACGUACUGUAUGUUUACUUGUUACCUCAUGGAUUGUUGUUAAAUAUUGUUCGAGGACAUUUGUGACGUGAGAAAUUGGCGUGUUAGGUUUGAUUUAUUCGAUGAAUCGGGUUUUGUUGUUUGUUCUUUCAUCGUGCAUUUCAAUAUAUAUGUAGUGGUUUGGUUUUCCAAAUUGGAAUUCAAUGUUAUGCCCAAUCACUUGUAUGUUUGUUAAAAUGGAUGCCAAUCGCUAUAAAAAUUGCAUUGUUGUGCUGCAAAACCGCAUUGUGUUGGGAUGUCUGAAGCAAUGUGAAGUUUCUUUGAUCUAUAGUUACAGUGAUAUGUAUCUGCCAAAAGCAAAGAAUUGCUAUUCUAGACAAUUCUAGUAUCAUUUCUCCACCAUCCUAAUGGUUGCAUUUCAUUGUUUAAUGGCACUUUCAUCCCAAAUUUGAAUUCUAUCUGAAGAGCAAGUUUCAAUAGCUUACCUAUUUGUAGAAAAUAGGUACUAGGUCUAUGGCUUUUGCAAAUUCUGUUAAAGAUGGUGAUCAUAUCUGGGCUUCAAAGUUCAAGGUACAUCCUUGAGAGAAUUGCUAAACAAGCUGGUGUUGUGCUGCUCACACUUAAUCCACAACCAAUUGAGGUACUGUAAUCCUUUAGUUGUCAUUUCUUCUUACCUUAUGCUAAUUAUUUACGCUAAAUUGCUUUGGUUUGAAGCUUGACAGGGUGACUAGAAUGGUGCUGGGAUGUCAGGUUUUUUGACAUGUCUUUGUCAUGAAUCAUAAUUAUUUUUAAGUACAAAGAGUAUGAGGGAAGAUGUAGGAUUUGAGGUAAUAACGAAGGAAAUGAGAGAAAGUUGACAGUAAAGCAUGAGACUGUGAGCAUCAACACAUUUUCUUGGGUAUUGCUUCAAAGUUUUAAUACAUGUUCUUGUUUAACGAGUAAUCAAAUAUGAACAUCAAGGGCAGGGAGUUGCUAACCUCUGAUGCUCAAUCUGUGUUGGGAAGAGACUGAGAAGAACGGAAAAGGUUACUUGGAAGACAGGCCCCUGGUUUCGAACAUGGAUCCAUAUGUGGUAACAACAUUAUUGGCAGAGAGUACAUUAUUGUGGGAACAAACUCUAGAGGCCGAAGUUCUUGCAGCUCAGUAGCUUGCAUUGAAGGUCUAAAUCUAUUGAGCAAUGACCUUGCUAGACAGACAGAGUCAGCACUGCUGCAUUCUGUGAGGAGAGCUGGGAAGCUCUUUCAUUUUCCAUUUAGAUUAUUUAUAUUAUGAAGAUCUUGUUGUCUGGACUACGAGGAGCUGGUUUGAUGCAUAAGGAAGCUUGUUGUAAUAAUAUCCACGGUAUCCAAGUGGCUACAAAUGCCCCAAAAGUCACACAUCUUCUCUUUGCAGAUGAUAGCUUGUUCUUUGGUAGAGCUAACCAAAAGGAAGCCGACUCCAUCAACUUUGUCCUUACCAAGUAUCAGCUAGCCUUCGGGCAACUGGUUAGUCUUGAUAAGUCUGAAGUGUCUUUUAGCCGAAAUGUGCCAGAAAAUGAGAAAGAUAUUAUCUGUAAUAAGAUAGGUGUAAUGGCUGUGACAUCUCACAGAGAAUUUAGGACUUCCGGUGAUUUUUGGUAGAUCCAAGAAAGAGGUUUUCUUUUGUACAAGAGCGCAUCUGGAAGAGACUUUGAUCAAAGCAGUGGCCCAAGCCAUUCCAAACUAUAUCAUGAGCUGCUACAAGAUUCCGGAAGGGUGCUGCAGCAAUAUUGAGUCCAUGUUGUCAAAAUUCUGGUGGGGCUCCUCUGAGAAUCAAAGGAAUAUAUAUUGGAUGAGCUGGGACAGAUUGGGAAGAGGUAAAAACAAAGGCGGCUUAGGAUUUAGAGGCUUUAGUGAGUUCAAUAAAGCAUUGCUUACCUAGCAAUGUUGGAGGCUAGUGUCAAAUGAGAACUCUCUCUUAGCUAGAGUCCUAAAGAGUAGAUACUUUCCAAGAUCAUACUUCUUAGUGGCCCAAACUGGAUACCAAUCAAGUUAUGCAUGGAGAAGUCUGAUAAAUGCCAGAAGCGUUCUUGAGCGUGGCAUGAGAUGGUGUAUUGGUGAUGGCAAGAAAGUUAGAAUCUAGCAAGACCCAUGGCUUCCUGAACUGUCCAAUUUUAAGGUAUGGAGUUCAAAUAUGAAACUUGCAACGGAUACUGCGGUAGCUGAACUGACAGAUAUAGAUACUAAACAGUGUAAGAGGGAGGAAGUCUUCAAUAAUUUUAACGAGUUCAAUAUGUUCUGCAUGAAGGGACCAAUUAUUUAAAAGAUCAAAUAUUGUAAGAGCAUAUAUUUUUGUUUGCUUUGCCUAAGAGCAAGGAAAUAUCAGAACCCAAGUAAUUUGCCAAAAGUUUCUCUAAAAAGAAAGUAUCAUAAUUUUAUCAGAACCUA